rnacentral:rRNA from 1 species
AUGGGAGCUUGCUCCCAUUUCUCAGCGGCGGACGGGUGAGUAACACGUGGGCAACCUGCCCUACAGACUGGGAUAACUCCGGGAAACCGGAGCUAAUACCGGGUAAUACAUAGCAUCGCAUGAUGCAACGUUGAAAGUUGGCCUUUGGCUAACACUGUAGGAUGGGCCCGCGGCGCAUUAGCUAGUUGGUAAGGUAACGGCUUACCAAGGCCACGAUGCGUAGCCGACCUGAGAGGGUGAUCGGCCACACUGGGACUGAGACACGGCCCAGACUCCUACGGGAGGCAGCAGUAGGGAAUCUUCCGCAAUGGACGAAAGUCUGACGGAGCAACGCCGCGUGAGUGACGAAGGCCUUCGGGUCGUAAAGCUCUGUUGUUAGGGAAGAACAAGUACCGUUCGAAUAGGGCGGUACCUUGACGGUACCUAACCAGAAAGCCACGGCUAACUACGUGCCAGCAGCCGCGGUAAUACGUAGGUGGCAAGCGUUGUCCGGAAUUAUUGGGCGUAAAGCGCGCGCAGGCGGUCUCUUAAGUCUGAUGUGAAAGCCCACGGCUCAACCGUGGAGGGCCAUUGGAAACUGGGGGACUUGAGUGCAGAAGAGGAGAGUGGAAUUCCACGUGUAGCGGUGAAAUGCGUAGAUAUGUGGAGGAACACCAGUGGCGAAGGCGGCUCUCUGGUCUGUAACUGACGCUGAGGCGCGAAAGCGUGGGGAGCGAACAGGAUUAGAUACCCUGGUAGUCCACGCCGUAAACGAUGAGUGCUAGGUGUUGGGGGCUUCCACCCUCAGUGCUGAAGUUAACACAUUAAGCACUCCGCCUGGGGAGUACGACCGCAAGGUUGAAACUCAAAGGAAUUGACGGGGGCCCGCACAAGCAGUGGAGCAUGUGGUUUAAUUCGAAGCAACGCGAAGAACCUUACCAGGUCUUGACAUCCUCUGCCACUCCUAGAGAUAGGACG